rnacentral:lncRNA from 1 species
ACAAGUUUAAACGAUGUGGCCAUUAUUCACCCUAAACCAGCUUUUUCAUUGUAAUUUAAAAUCAAAGUUAUAAAAAUCGGAAAUCAUUUCGAUUGUAUCGUUUAGAUCAAAUAUUUGACCCAAUUUUUAAGUACUUAUUUUCAAUAUCCAAGGACUCUUGAACAUCGUCAACUGCCCAUGCUUUUAUGGUAUGCUUCGGUGGAAGUUGUUUAUAAGACUAUACACAUGUUUGUUUGUUAAACAUUUUGUCUCUAAAAUAGCUAUUAACCAAAAAAAACAAUCAACUAGUCAAUUUUUUGCAAAAAAACCUUUAAACUUCUAUUUUCAUUAACAACCCCAAUAAAUUUUAUUAAAAUAUAUUAAAAAAAAUACAAUAUAAAUCAUGGUUAAAUCUGCCGAUCUGACUUGUCAAGUAUCUUUCCUAAUUUAUAUCUUUUUAUACACGUGAGUGCCAUGUCGUGCUUAUUCAUUAAUAAUAAUAAUAAUUUAUCCUUUAAUAAUUUAUAAUAUUCUAAUUUCAUAAACCCAUUGAAUAUCGAGAGUUUCAUCAUCUUUAUCAAAAUUACGCUUAUACAAACAAAUUUGAUUUUAUAUGAUUGCUAAAUCCUGGAAAUGAUUAGAACUUCUCGGUGACUUUAAUGUUCAUGAUUAUAGUCACGAGCAAUCUGCAAGGCAUGUAUGUGAUUUUGAAAGAGUUAUGCACACAUACUGGAGAUAGUAUUCACAGAGAAUCGGAGUAGACCUUUGUAUAUGAUCAUGUCUUUUAGUGAGAACGUUGUGAAAUUAGAUUUUAAAGAUUGAAAAUCAAUAGACAUAAAAUCUGACAUGUUGAACUUACAACGCAAGCCAGCAAUAUCAUAAUUUUUCUUAAACUUUGUUAAUUUUGAAUUCAUUUAUCCAGUCAAAUUUCAAGCGUUCACUAUAAUGAUGUAUAAUAGUGAAGUUACUGUGUGUAUUAAGGAACUGCAUCAUAGUGAAUUACCAGAACAAUGCUUGCUGUAACAAGAAGGGGAAAGGUAGCACUAAUGGUGACCAACCCAUCUUAAAGCUGAUUUUAGUGGUGCUGAUAUAUUUUUCCGUUAUUCUUACUAUUUUUUGAUUAAUUGUAAUUAAUCUGUCAUAUAAGAUAUAAUAUGAUCAUGGUUAGUCCACGUCAGCUGUAAGCAACUCUAGUUAAUUUUUUUCAAAGAUUUAGUAAAGUUUAUUGAGGUUAUUAGUGAAAAAAAAGGUAUAAAAAUUAUUUGGCAAAAAACCAAGUUAGUUGGAUUUUUUGAUUAAUAGCUCUGUCUAAAAAGAUAUUUCCAAUUUGCUUAGUAUUAGUGUAUUACCAAUAAUCUAAUUCAUUUAUCAGGAAAAAAAUCGUUUAUCUCGUUUCCUCGCAUGAAGUUUACAUUUACUUUGCUACUACACUAUUCAGUGGCCCCAAACAGUUUUAUUUUCUUCAUUCGGAUACUAUGGUGCUUAAUGCUUCAUUUUCAUAUCAAAAAGUACUGGGAAUGGAUUUAAAGAUUCGAGUUAUUUAACCCAGUUUUUUUUAGGUAAUAAUGCAUGAAGGACUUUUUUUUUAUUAUGUGGGACUGGGAUAAUUUUUACAUAUACGAAAUAAUUAAAGAAACUCGGGUAGAAUAUUUUGUAAACUAGACUCUUCUUUGUUAUCUUGACUUGAUGACGAAUAAAUUUAAUAUGAUGAAUUCGUUUUAUGAUUAAAAUUUAAUCAAGUAUCUUUAAAUGAGGUAUUAACCGCGGAUUUAAGAUUUUCUAAAAUAAUUUGUUAAACAUUUGAUUAAUAUUUAUUAAACAAUAUUUUAUAGAAUUAACUAUGUGACCGUAAGUUAUACAGAAAUCGUUUACUUUGUCUGAUAAUAAUUUGCACUUCCUUUCAAAGUAUUAUUGUUUUGAUAAAAAUAUAAAUUGUGGAUAUUUUUAGGAUAAUUAAUGUAACGGUCUUUUGAAUUGCCAAAAAUCGUAAAUAAUACAUGGUUGCCAUAUAUGCAUAUAUGUGCGAAUAUUACGGAUGCCAGAUGCUCUGGGAUGAUAUAUUUUUUAAAGGAAACGUAGCUGAAUAGCCUAAAUGGGCCUGUAAGGAUAUAACGACUCUAUUUCAGGAAGGGAGUUUAACUUAAGAAGCAGCUAAAUGGGCUUCAAGUGGAUAAUCCAGUUUAUAAUGGAUCCAAAUUGUGAAAAACUCGCACCCAAUUUGCUUGAUCACAAACUUAGGCAGAAAUCAAAAUAUAUUCGAAUCAAAUGGGCCACCUCCGGAUUAGCCCGUCAUUCAAUACAUAUAUUUUCACGACAUUGUCUCCGUCUCUUGCUCGACAAGUUAAAGAAAAGGCAGAUAUGUCAUGGCUUUUCUGUUUCACAUACAGUAACAUAAAAUAAACAUUUUAUUGAUUCAACAAAUGAAUACUUUUCUUGUUAUUCACUUCUCAAAAAUCACCAGCAGAUGAUUACAGGUUAGUAAAGCUUCAAUCUCUAGUUGUUUUUUUUAAUAAAUCUUUAGUUCUUUUUCUAUUUGUAUUUGUGUAUCUAUUUUCUUGGCUUAAAAGUUGGAAUAUGAUUAUGUGUUUUUGUGUGUGUUUCAGUGUUUAUGAUUUGGUUUGAAUUCUGGGUUUUAGUUAUUUAGUUGAAUGGUGUAGUAAGAAUGGCUGCUUUGAGGUUAGCCAAGAGUAGAUCACUAGGCAGUAGUUGCUUUAGUUUUGGUAGGGAUUUGAGCAGAAUUGAGACUAGGGUUUUGUUUAGUUUGAUGAAUACUUCUAGUUUCUGUACAAAUUCAUCUGGGUUUGUGUUGGAUAAUAUUGGUGGUAAAUUUGAUUGUAAGGGGGGGAAGGAUUUAGGGAGUGAUAGGGCAAAAUGGUGUGGUACAUUUUCCGCAAUGCCUGUGAGGUUAGGGAGUAAUGUUUUGGGUUUUGGGGGGAGUUUUGGGAUGGUGAGUCAGAGGUUGUAUUCGUCGAAUGCUGUGGGUGGGAAUGUGGAUAAGAGUGGGGGUAGUGAAGUUGGGGUUAGUUCGGGUGGUGUGGAUGUGAGUGAUGGGGGUUUUGGGGGAGGGGACUGGGUCGAGAAGGUUAAGGGUGCUUGGAAAUCUGUUAUUGAUGCUGGGAAUUAUACUGGGGAAAAGGUUAAGGAAGUGUCUGAUGAACUUAUGCCUUAUGGUCAGCAGUUGCUUGAUACGCAUCCUUAUCUUAAGGAUGUCAUUGUGCCAGUGGGAUGCACUUUGACGGGUACAAUAUUGGCUUGGUUUGUGAUGCCUAAGGUUUUGAGGAGAUUUCAUAAGUUUUCAAUGCAAGGGCCUGCUCAACUGUUAUCGGGUAGCUCGUUAUGGGGUCCGGUGCCAUAUGAGAGAAGUUUUUGGGGGGCUCUGGAGGAUCCACUGCGAUAUGUCGUUACCUUCAUGGCGUUCUCCCAAAUGUUAGCACCCCUUCCUUCUUUUUUACUUUUAAGUCAGCAUGCUUAUUUUGACUUUUGAAAUUCUAUCGUUAAAAUAUUUGUUUGUUUGUUGUUGUUUUCUUUAUGUAUACAGCGCAAAUAUGGUAGCACCUACUACAAUUGCAUCACAAUACAUUUUACAGACUUGGAGAGGUGCUGUUAUUCUUUCAGUUGUAUGGUUCCUGCAUAGAUGGAAGACAAAUGUCAUUUCUCGUGCUUUAGCCUCAAAGAGCUCACAAGGACUAGUCGAUCGAGAUAAGCUGUUGGCCAUUGACAAAAUAUCAUCUGUUGCUCUAUUUUCGCUUGGUUUAAUGGCUUUAGCUGAGGCAUUUGGGGUGGCAGUGCAAUCGAUACUUACUGUUGGAGGCAUAGGAGGCAAGUCUUACAUAAAAAAAAUUAUGCUCUUCACCUCAAUAUAAUUUCUGUAUGUUAAUUUAAAGGUGUUGAAAUAUACGCAGGACGUGAAACUGUUUGUUUAACAUGGACGGAACACUUAUGUCACUGAUAUAUUAUUCUUUAAACUAGUUCAUUUCUUAUAAUUUCUCAUGAUGAUCGUUUGGAAUGGCUUAAGUCGUAUAAUUUAUAAUGUACACGCCAUCAAGCAAUAAUUUAAGUUUUUGAAGAUGAAUUGAGUUCUGAGUUGACAUGAAUAUGUGCUUGUGCAGGAGUUGCUACUGCUUUUGCAUCAAAGGACAUUCUGGGAAAUGUUCUUAGUGGGUUGUCUGUACAAAUGUCACGGCCGUUUUCAGUAGGAGAUACAAUUAGAGUAAGUUAAAUUUGUUAUGUGAAUUUAGUUAUAGAUCUUUGUUUUUUGUUGCCAAUUCUAGUAAUGAUAAUCGAAGGUUUUUUCCUCUGAAUUUUCUGAUUACCCUCAUAAUCAUUUGAGUCCAGUACAAGUAUUCUUACUCUUUUACUACAUAAUCAUUGGUUAACUUAAGAAACCAACUUCUGCAUUCCAUAUCCAUCUACAGUAUUAUUUUGAUGAAUCAACUGGCAUUUAGUUCAGAAGAGAAUUUGCAGUUUUCCUAGGCCUUCUUAUCUUGCUCAGUCUAAGAGGCAAUUUAAAUGGGAAAAAGUUUCAUUGAGCAAUCCUAUCAUGAAAUUUCAGAAUUAUAAGGAAUGAUGAAUUAGUAACAGGCUAGCUGCUGAUAUACAGUGAUGAAGGCUGUAGUUUCAAAAAAAGAUAACUGAGCUCUAUUUAUUGCCUAAAAAAUUGUUAGCUCAGGAAUAAUUUCUUCUUGUGGAUAAUAUUUGUGUUUAUACCAUCUUAUCACCAUUGUAACAUCCAAAGUCAAGCUCUUAUCCUCAACCCAUAGUGUCUUUAAGAUGAUGUACUCUCAGAAGAUUAGAUUUAAAUCAUAACCUAUGUUUGCUUUAAAACCCCUCUCCUAAUGAUAUUCUAAGAGGUUACUGUUUUCCUGCAGGCUGGAUCUGUGGAAGGUCAGGUGGUAGAAAUGGGACUUACAACCACCAGAUUGUUAAGUGCGGAAAAGUUUCCUGUUAUAGUUCCGAACUCACUCUUUUCAAGUCAGGUUGGAUGUUACCCUCUUUGUCACUUAUUUGUAAAUGCUGCAUUUCUGCAACUGUUAUGUGGAAUUAUCAUCGUCAAACUAAACUUGCUAUUUACACUCAUAAUCUAGCAUACAUUUGGGUCACCAGGCUGCAUAAUAAUGACAAUACUCACAAUAGUACGAGCCUAAGAUAAAGUUUGGUGCAAUAUAAUUGGCUAUGGCCAGCGUACCAAGAUUAAACUGUUUCUCGAUUUUCUUGUUAGUUGGUUGUAGAACGUGAAAUAUCUUUUCCCAGACAUUCAUUUGUGUCGUAAUUAAUCCUAGAUUUAUUAUGUCGCAUAUCUUCAUCAGUACUGCUAGCCUUUAAUAUGUUCUGUUAAGAGUACUUCUAGUAUUCUGGCACAUUGCCUUCAGUAUGAUAUGAUUUUUAUCCGCAUAUGUGUUACUAUGGUAUAUAUAAUUUGGUAGUAACAUGUUUCCGUACCCUGUUAUGCUUUUAUGUCUUUUGUAGGUUAUUGUGAAUAAAUCACGUGCUGAAUGGCGUGCUAUGCUCACUAAGAUACCUUUACAUAUCAGUGAGUUUGACAAGAUUCCCCAGAUUUCAGAUGAUAUAACGAAUAUGAUCAAAUCAAACUCAAAUGUGUUCUUGGAAAGGGAAGUACCUUAUUGUUUCUUGUCUAGAGUGGAAAGAUCUUAUGCAGAACUGACUCUUGGCUACAAUCUAAAACAUAUGGUAUGUUCGUACUGUUUUCUCAGGAUAAGAAAAUCACAGGUCACAAUUAGGUUAUUGUUUUAAAGCUUGCCAGUUACUGUUACAAUCAACAUUGCACUUUCUUGUGUUUUGGUUGGCAAGUAUAGUAAGGAUUUAUUUUUAAAAUGUUACUUUUUGGCUGAUGAAUCCGGCAUACAUAGAAGAAGAAAAUGGCUAUUCAGGUUUAACUUGGACUACAAGGAUUAAACCUACUAAGGAUAAUCAACCCAUAUUAUAUGACUCAAAACAAUAGCAUCUCUAAUAUUGCUAGGUAAUUACUUAUCAAAAUGUUCUGAUCAAAUAAAAUAUAUUUUCUUGAACCUCUUUUGAAUCCUGUUCUUUAUGUGAUUAUUUUCACUACUUGAGCUUUCUGCACACAGUUAUUCUCACAGCUCUUUCUAGUCUCAAUGCAGUGUGCUAGAUACAUCUUUCCUAAUCUCAUCACCACUUAAUAUGUAUGUAUAUUUGACUCCAUUAUAUUGAUUUUCGGUUGUGGUUCUAGAGGAAAGACUUGUUAUGCGCAGCAGAGCAAGAUAUUCUCCUGAAAUCCGUCCAGAUUAUCCAGCAACACGGUGCUACACUGGGCAGUACUUUUGAAGAUUCGAUUGGCCAAUGAUUCCACUUCCUGUGUUUUUGGUGACCAGCUACUGUCUCACUGAUACUGUAGCAUGUACAAACAAUCUCGAGUUUAAAGGUUUAACCUGAUCUCUAUAGUAUCUCUUACGUGAGUAGUUAUUUAGACUUGAAGCAUGAGUUGUGAUGCAGAAAGUGUGGGUUCAGCACUACGAUGAUAUGAACGGAGCUUGACAGUGUUUGUUUUGUGUUGAUCGCUUUGUUCAUACCAAAGUAGUUGUGAGAUUAGUGUGAUGGUUACCUUUUGUGAGAUUAUUGCAAGGGCUACCUUAAACCGCAAGAAAAUGAAUCUCUUUUUUGACAUUGAGCUGAUACAGCCAUAUCACUGGAAGCAUUUAUGCAUUCGUUAAUAUUUAUUAAUUCGCGGCUUCCCUUGUAACACCUUAUCUAAUUUAGGUCCGGUUUGGUAUUGUUGUUGAGAUAGAAAAAUUGUUUUGUAAAUUUAAAAGUAGUUUUUUCAGAGGAGUGAGUCCCGUAAAGUUGCUCGUGUGAUUUUGCAAUAACACGUCAGUUUUUAACGGGACAUGGAUUUUUAUCGUAUUGUACAUGGGUGGGAGGUUGUUAAGACAAUUGAUGACUAGGUUCCACUCUUUGUCUAUUUAGAAAUUAAAAAUUUUAUCAUCGUCCCUUUAUGCACGAGCAAAAAGCUUCAUCUGCAGCUUCAAAUGUUAUAAUAUUGCAGCCUCUUGGUCCCCGAUGAAAUAAAGAAUUGUUCUUUAGUGGACAUAAUCAUCACCUUAUAUCUACCUGCAUUACUCAGCUUGAUCAAGGGUCGUUUUUGGUUGUCUUUUACAUGUAAAAUUGUGGAUUUUAAGAAUAUUCAUUAUACCGAGAUUUAACUAUUUGUAUAAGAUAUAAGUGGGGGAUAAAUACAAGUGGAGGCAUGUUCACCCGUGAAGUGGGUCGGCAGUAGUGGGGAUGACUAAAGGAGGUGGUGGAGGAGGAGGAGGAGGAGGAGAGAGGCUCACGAGAAGCGAAUAUUAAGCUACCCAUAUAAUUACCGUCAACGGGUCCCACUGAUAUACUUUCCAACUGAAGAAUUCCAAAACAACUGAUAAACUACACAUGUUUCGCAGUAUAUUUAAUUUUAUUAAUCACAGAUGCACAGAGGACACAGUUGCUUUUUGUUUUUUUACCUUUUUUUUAUCGAUUCGAUGAAUGAUAAAGUUGAUGGUGAUUUUUUUUUUUUCAGAGAUUGUCAUUGUUAUAAAAAGUUCUGUUAAUUAAAUUACACAAUCUCUGUUUUUUAUACAAUGUUUUGACUUUUGACAUGCAUAUUUAGGUUGGUUGAUCAGUAAAAUUAUUAUAUUUAGUCUUUUUAUGAAUUAAAAUUUUGAUAUUAUAUAUUUUUAUUUAAAAUAUAAAAUUUAAUUAUAUGAUUAAAAUAAUUAAAAAUAUGUGCCAAUAGUCAAAAUGAAUAACAGAGGGAGUGGUGGUCAUUGCCCAAAGGUGUUCGCAAGAACAAUAUUCAAGCUUCGAGUCAAUAAAAACACUCGAGCAUUUUUGGCACUUUUCUAGUUCAUUGCUUACAAGUUUUGUAUCUUAAUUCUUAAGCUUGUUUUUAUUUAAUUAUGAGAAUACGGCAAGUGAUUGAUGUAAAUUAAAUUUGAUCUUCGAUAAAACCUUCUCAUCCUACUUUUUUGUAUGAAUCCAAGAAUUCUUGUUAUAUGACAUUUUAGAGGAUUUAAUUUUCGGAGAAAAAAGAUGCAAAAGAAUGACACAACCCCAUGAAUGCUCGCUCAACUGCUCAAGUAAAAAGCAUAUACUAGUGGUCCAGUUGGUGCUGAGUCCUAUAAAUACUCAUUUCUGUGUAUGCUUUUAGUUAAAAAAACAUUCCAUAUCACAUUCUCAACAAUGGGCAUAAUGUGCAACACCAGCUUUAACAAGUACUCUCAAGUAAGAAACAAGGUGUUGGUGUGGCGGUAGAGCUCUUGUACCCCCUUGCGGGAGGUCGGGAGUUCCCCGUGUGGUGCGAAAAAAAAAAAAAAAAAAAAAAAAAAAAAAAAAAAAAAAGAAACUCUACGAAUAGGCUUCACCGCCUAGCUUCUUCAACUUUGUUUAAUCAUGUGUUUUCUACUCACAGGUGAUGAAGACGAUAUGGGUACUCGUUGUGUUGAUGGUGGGAGUGGUGAAUUUAAGAGGAGCCGAAUGCAGAAAAGCCAAGAAAAGAGUGGAGAACACCUUAGAGUACAGUGCCAUAAGUUGCAGAGCUCACAGUGCAUCCAUAACGGAUUAUGGAGGCAUUGGAGAUGGCAAGACAUCCAACACCAAGGCCUUUAGAGAAGCCAUCUCUCAUUUGAGCCGGUACGAAGCAGACGGGGGAGCUCAGCUCUUUGUUCCUCCUGGACAAUGGUUAACCGGAAGCUUCAACCUCACGAGCCAUUUCACUCUUUUUCUACACAAAGACGCUGUCCUCCUUGCUUCCCAGGUAUUUUCCUUGGUCCCUGCUUCCGGGGUGGUCCUGGCUAUAGACGAACUAGCGUUGUGCCCUGUGACACGGAAUGUAAAUUAAAUUUUGAAAAUGGAUUGUUCAGGAAAUUAGUGAAUGGGCGGUGAUUGCACCCUUGCCAUCUUACGGUCAUGGAAGGGACACCGCAGGUGGAAGGUACAUCAGUCUCAUUUUCGGGACAAACCUCACGGAUGUUGUCGUCACAGGCAAGCCUUAUUAGAUAAACUUUAUGAUUGGCUUCUCAACAAUAACUCGUAUAUCUCCUAACAAGAAACUUGAUGAUGAUCAUGUCAAACCAGGUGAAAAUGGCACAAUUGACGGCCAGGGUGCUCUUUGGUGGCAACAAUUUCAUAAGAAAAAACUGAAAUAUACACGACCUUACCUUAUUGAAAUCAUGCAUUCUGAUAACAUUCAGAUUUCAAAUCUUACAUUUCUAAACUCCCCGUCAUGGAAUGUUCAUCCUGUUUAUAGCAGGUAUGUAUGGUUUUUGAGUUUUGCUGCGGAAGUUAAAAGAUGACUCUAGUCUGAUAGUCACAUACUCUUUAAACAUAAUUUGCAGCAACAUCAUUAUCCAAGGGAUUACGAUUUUAGCACCCGUCACAUCUCCAAAUACGGACGGAAUAAAUCCAGGUUAGCAGAGUUUACCUGUCUUUAACACAUUAUGCUGAACAUCCUCACCAAGCAAAAACGUUUCUUUUUUCACCUACAGAUUCUUGCACAAAUACGAAAAUUGAGGAUACCUACAUUGUCUCUGGAGAUGAUUGCAUAGCUGUUAAAAGUGGUUGGGAUGAAUAUGGUAUAUCAUACGGUAUGCCUACCAAACAACUGAUCAUCAGACGGCUGACAUGCAUUUCGCCAUACAGUGCUGCCAUUGCUUUAGGAAGCGAAAUGUCAGGUGGGAUUGAAGAUGUCAGAGCCGAAGAUAUCACAGCCAUUAACACAGAAUCAGGGGUCAGGAUCAAAACGGGAGUGGGGCGGGGAGGUUAUGUGAAAGACAUAUACGUAAAAGGCAUGAACUUGCAUACAAUGAAAUGGGUGUUUUGGAUGACAGGAAACUACGGCUCUCAUGCUGAUUCUCACUAUGAUCCUAAAGCGCUACCAGUGAUUCAAGGGAUCAAUUACAGAGACAUUACCGCAGAGAAUGUGUCAAUGGCUGCUCGACUUGAGGGCAUUUCAGGCGAUCCAUUCACCGGGAUAUGUAUAUCUAAUGCAACGAUAGGUUUGGCAAAGAAGGCAAAGAAGGUACCUUGGACUUGUACUGAUAUUGCCGGAGUUACAAGUGGUGUGCUUCCUAAGCCCUGCAGUUCGCUACCUGAUCAAGGGCCGGAGAAAGUAGGAAUGUGUUCAUUUCCUACUGAUAAUCUACCAAUUGAUGAUGUAGAAAUCAAGAAAUGUUCUUAUAGAAUGGGCUAAAUACAGAUUGCUUCCAUACAGCUAUAUUUCACCUGUGUCUCUAGUACUGUAUAACUAUUUGGAUUGUCAGCAAAGCAUGUUUUAAUUCUUUUCAAGGAUAAGUUAAAGGCUAAUUUGCCCUAAUAUUUACAGGUUAAAAAAACAAAAUUUGAAGUGAUUGCAAUCAUUUUAUACUACCUGUCGAUUUGAAAAUUACAUUUUCACGUGAAAAAAGAAAUAUCAUUUCACCACCAAGGUACAGAGUUAGAAAACUCAACAAAGAGUAACACUAUAAACUCUACUAGUCUACUGCAGCUCAGAAUAUUACAAGGAUGAUAAAAGAAUCGCAAUGUUAAUAGUAGAAACAACUUUUGUUAACCCUCAAUAUAUCCACUCUAUUUAUUUGAACUGUUCUACUUGAGGAUCAUUCUUAAGAUGAUAUUGGCUCUGUAACACCUAACAACAUUCGAUAACACUCACUUGUCAAAUGAAAUUCCUUAAUAAAUCGGGUCAGGAUUGAAUUUCACAGAUUCCCUCCAGAUGAGUUCCUUGAUAUUCUCUUCAGUGCAGGAUGGCUGCUCAAAGUCGAAACUAAAAGGCUGAGGGCAAACAGGCUCCUCAUUUAUGUCAUGAAGGGGUGCCAAGUAUGGGUGGCAAAGUGCCUCAUCAACUGCCAAAAAGAAGAAAAAAAACAAUUGUCAUUACCUGGAAAUGCGAACAAAGAAAGUUAAUUCAGGACAUGAGUUCAAAAUUGCAGGUGCCCUGUUAUUUUUCUUUAAAAGGAUCAUCCAAAUUCUAAAUUCUUUGAAAGAAUGAAAAUAACUAAAAUAUAAGCCAGACCUGUGAUACGCCUGUUGGGAUCAAAGAUGAGCAUUUUCUCCAGCAAAUCUAAAGCUCCUGGAGAUUUGUUAAGAAAUCUAGCUGAGAAUUGUUGCCUUGGAUACUGGGGAAGCUGCCUCACGUAUCUCCGGGCAUUAUCACUUCUGAGAAACCCAAGACUGGCAUCAUCAGGUGAACCUAUGAGCUUUUAAACAAACAAAAAAUAACAUAUGUUGUCACGGCAAUCCAGAUUGCAAGAUGAAAAUCAAAAGCUUUAAACAUUUUUUUCAUUUCCAUAUCGCUAACAGAUAUAUUAGAAGUCAACAAUACACAGUAGUGCAGAACUCUGCAGAACUCCUGAUAACUUUAUAACAAAGGAAACAACUUCAUUACCACUGUUUUUGCAUCUACUAUAUAAGGGAGAUGGUCCCUGACAAAUGAUUGUUGUCAACAAUCUAUACACUGUAAAAGAUCGCGGAAAGGCAAAAACCCUAGAGUGGGUGUCUAAUCCGCGGAUGGGCCUGAUGGGCCCCCUGCUUGCACAUAAAAAACCUAGUGCAACAAACACUUGUUAGGGAGCCAAACCCAUAUAAUAAUUAGUUGACACUACUAAAACUAAAUAUAUAUAUUUUUAAAAGGUUAUGCCCAGAUGCCACAGGCAAACAUAUCCACCUAAACUCACCUACAGAGAAUAUAAACAUAAAGAAUAUGUAUAUGACUACUUGCCAUCGAAUCUCAGAAAACUUGAGCAGAAGAACAAGCAAUUUCCAAAGUUGCAAUAGACAUCACGUGUCCUAGUAAGGUGAUUUGAUUAUUUCCUGAUGCGCACACAAGUAUAUAGCCGCAAAACUAAUAUAACAUAGAGACUAGAAUUUCUGAGAAUGGACUAAUGGUUAAUUUGUAGCAAGUUAAAUACCUCAUUCUUCCUUAACCAGUCCCCAACCCCUCCACAGCUAACAAGAAAAAUAUAUUAAAGGUAAUACCUCAGUAAUCAGUCUCAGCUGAUGUACAUAAUCUUUGCCAGGGAACAAGGGCUGUCGAGUCAUAAUUUCACCAAGUAUGCAACCGACUGACCAGAUAUCAAUUGCUGCAGUGUACUCUGAACAAUUAAGGAGCAAUUCAGGGGCCCGGUACCAACGAGUAACAACAUAUUCAGUCAUGAAAUCAGUUUCAGAAGUUGUCCUUGCAAGACCGAAAUCUCCAAUUUUCAAGUCACAGUUUGCAUUAAGGAGCAGAUUGCUAGGCUUUAAGUCACGGUGCAAGACAUUUGCAGAAUGAACAUACUUCAGUCCUCGCAAUAGUUGGUAAAGAAAAUACUGCACAAGUAACAGAGAACUUUAGACCUCUCCUAUGUCAGAUUCACGCAAUCUGAUUUGGAGAACACAAUCAUGUGAACUUCAGAAUGCUUCUUGUAGCUGACCAUUCCUCAUUGGUUACAAUAAUGCAGAUCAAACUGAUAUACAAAGCCAGUAGCACUUCUAUGAAUGGGGAAAGGUCAAAAUACAUACAUGUUAUACCUUACAUCUUUAUAUUAAAAUACUGAUGAUAUCAUCAGCAGUGUGGAUUUGAAACAAGUGCUACUUCUCCCGUCUUCACUAAUGUUGUAUUUGGUUGGGGUGAAUGAAUAUGGAAGGAAUGGAAUGAAAUUUGAACCAUGUGACGGGCAAUUGUUUAUAAAUUUGGUUCCUUCCUCCAUUCCUUUCCUUACACCCUAUACUAGAGAUCACAUCCCCAAUUUGGGUAGGAAUGCUCCAUUCCCUCCUAUACUCAAUUUCAUCUCGAAUCUCAUCAUAACAAUUUUGCACUCACUCAUUCUUUUCCAAAAUUUCCCUCCUACCUCUAUUAGUUUAUUAUUUUAGUCAUUCCAUUCCAUUCUCCUCAACCAAACACAUGAUAAGGGUUUCAUAUUUUAAGUCUAAAAGGAAGAGUGGAAGACACUUAAUAUUAAGUUUUCGACCAAUACAUGUAAAAUUCAGAAUGCUUCAUUGGUCACCAAUAGUACAGAUCACGCUAAUAUACAAAGCCAUCAUCACGAGUGGGUGAAGGUCAUGAUACAUUAAUACAUACAUGUUAGCCUUGCAUUUUUAUGUUUUAAUACUGAUGAUAUCAUCAGCAAUUAGGAUAUUAAGCAAGGGCAACUUCUCCUGUCUACACUAAGAGUUUUCUAUGUUAAGUCUAAGAGGAAGAGUGGAAGACACUCAAAUACUCAAUAUUAAGUUCUCGACAGAUACAACUUACAAGUGUGUCAUACUGUCAUCACAGUUCACAUAGAUCUAGUCUAAAGGCCUUCAUAAACAGUAGCUAGCUUGAAGGUUGUCAAAGUAGACCAAUAGUUGAUGAUCACUGAUCAGCCUAAUCACAAUAAGUCAAAGUUCUACCAGUCAGCCUGACAAUUAUUUCUUAUAAAUAUAUUUCUAUUAAAAUAAGCGUUAUGCACGGAAAUAGAACUGUUGGCUAAAUGUAGAUCGGGGAAUGGUGAGAGGUGGCAAAUAAAGCAAGCACAGUGCAAUGAGGACAGGACUGAGUUUCACUGCGGCAAUGAGUUUAUUUCAUUGUCAAUUUUAGUACUUUAUGAGGUGUUUUGUAAACUAAACAUGAUUCCCAGGCUUGUCGAAUCAAAUAAGUACAAGAAUAUGGCAACUAUAUAAGAAAAAAUAUUCUGUGUGAACCAAAGUGUGAGGUCAAACCCGACAAUGAUCAUCUGUAAGUUGUUGGUUAGAGCGAAUUAUCUGAUGAAGAUCUGUGUCCAUUAAUUCAUAGACAAUGUACACAUCAUUAAAAGUUUCCUUCUGUGGAGGCCUUAUGAUGUCUUUGAUGGCAAUUACCUGCAAUUGUUAAAAAAUACAGAAAGCUGAACUUUAAACAUUCUUAAUUUAUUAGCUGGAUUUGUAAAUCAACAUGAAGAAUAGUAAAAUAUACUCCAGUGGUUAGUCCACCAACUAGGCAAUAGAAUCAGUACCAAAUGAAGGUCUGCUAUCUUCAGGUUAUUAACUAUGAAGUUGAGCAGGACUUACAUUUUCAUGAUCCAUGUGACGAAGAAGUUUAAUUUCCCUAAGCGUCCUCUUCGCAUCUAUUCGAUUGUCAAAUGCAUUACCAAUUUUCUUGAUGGCAACUUCCUCACGAGUAUCAGAAUUCAUAGCGGCACUGGAGCAAUUAACAAAACAAUUUUGUUAUAUGGUGUUGAUUAGAAAGAAAAACAAGUCGACAACUUUAUACACAGACAAUAAAAAAUAUUUCAUGGUGUCACUCACUGACACAAGGCAUACACAGUCUGGUUCAUCGAUGUAUGUAGAAUCCAAGAUACCAUGUUUGUUAACUACUACCUCCGUCCCUAUUUAUCUGUCCACUUUUAACAUUUUCACGCAUAUUAAGAAAAUUUAAGUUUGAUAAGAAACUUCUAUCAAUACCCUUAUUUAAUGCCUUAAUUGUAGGAAAAUACUAGUGGGAUUACUCGAUUAUCAAAUACAAAUAUGAUGAAUCAGUGAAUAAUAGUCAUGAUAUUUAUAGCUUGAAGAACAAAGUCAAAGACUUUGCAGGUUAUUAAAUGCAAAAUUUUGCUUUGAUUAUAUAAAUGGACAGAUAAAUAGGGACGGAGGGAGUAAUAUAUUAUACUCCCUCUGUCCUUUUAUAGUCAGCAUUUUACCAACUUUGUAAUGCAUAUAAUAUUUAUUAUAUGAUCAAGAUAACUCAACAAAAGGAAUAUAAUAAGAAACUGCAUUUAAUGCAUCAUAAGAUUCUGUUUUUCAUAUUUAGAAAGAAAUUAAAAAAACAUACUUUUAAUCUUAAUAUAUAAUUGGCCAAAUUAACCAAAAUACCAAUAUGACAAUAUAAAUGUGACGAUGGGAGUAUUUUUAACUAAUGUAACAUCAUAUACCAUUUAAAUGAUAUCAAAAGCUUUGAUUGUAAAAAAUGGCUAUAGAGAAUUAGAAUAAAUAAAUGGAAAUAUAAAAUUAGGUGAAAAACAUUUUAUUUUUUUGGUAAGGUCGAUCUAAAAAAAAUUAAUAUUCACGCGCACAUUCCUCUCCACUGAGACUCGAAAUUUUGACCAUUGAUAACUAAGAAUGACGGAUAUGUGCUGGAUUUGAGGACAGAAUGAAUUGACGAAAGUGAAAAUGGACAUGAAGGUGACAACCAACACUAAUACCAACUGACUAAUAAGGUGACAUCGCGAUAAAGUAAAUAUGUAAAGAACCAAGGAGGGACAGAAGCAGCUAGUAAACUGCAUGAGUCACCAAAAAAGAAAAGCAAUUAUGGUGCUAUCAUUCACAUAAUUAUACAUCGAUUAAUUAAUGAGCACCAUAUGCAUAUGCAGUCUGAACUUUACAGCAUUGAUGACAAAAAAAGAGUACAAAAGGGCUUUUAUCAACGUGAUUACACGGUAACAACUUGCUAAUAAACAGCUAACCUAAUCUCAAAAGCUUGAUUCCUGCAGGGCACUUAAUUCAUUAGACAUGUGCAGUCUCAGUGCAGUCACGCGGACAAAAAACUAGAUUCUAAUCAUCAUGAUAACAGAGUUCAAGCACGACUUCAACUACAAUCUAGCUUCCACUCAGUAUAAUCAUCACCAAAAUCUACUUAAUUUGGGGAUUUAGGUCUAAGCAUAGUUCCACCGUAAAUCAGAGUCAUUACAUGAAACACAAAAACAGAUCAAAUUUCCCAAACAUCCAUCAACUUCCACAAGACCAAGGCAAGUCAAGUAAACUUAACAUGAAGUCAUUCACAAGAUUUCAACAGUCUAACCACAUUUGACAUCUAAAAAGUACUUCCAAAUUCCAAUUCAAGAACUAACCAACUAAAGACACCAAAUCACAAACACAUAAUCAAGAUUUACUUCCUACUUAUAUCACACCGUUCAUCAACAACUAGAAGCACAAAUACCAACUAAAUCAAGAUCAAAAUACAGUAAAAAGGAAGAGAUUAUACCAGACAAUCCCAUAGGCCCCACGACCGACAGGGCGGAUCGGAGGGACAUAUUUUCUUGAAACCUCAAAGAGAUUGCCAUACACAUUGUACUGAACAUAUCUUCCACCAUGAGUUGGAACUCCUUUAAUAUGUCCAUGAUCAGCUGCUGCUGCUGAGCUUGGUUCCAUAGAUUGAAAUGAAACAAACAAAGAAAACCCAGAAAAUAAAAAAACCCAACUUGAAAAUAAAACUCUAUAAAGAUUGGAUUUUGGAGAGACAAAAACAAGAACAAGGUGCUAACUUUGGGGAAAAUGCAAAAAGAGGUUUGUGGGUUGCUAUGGAUUUAUGGUUUUUUGACAUUUGUUUGGGGGAAUAUGGUGAAAAUUGAUAAUGGAUUCUGACCUAUUUUUUGUUCUUAUUUAUUUUAAAAGAAAAAAAAAUCAAAACAAAGGAAAUUUACAGGAAAAGAGGAGAGAGAAUUGUAAAAAAGAGAAGUCUUUUUGAACUAAAUAUGACAUGAUUAUCCGUGAAGAGGGGUUGAUAAGUUUCAUGUGUGAAUGCAACACUUUACAUACAUGUGUAGUUUUUAUGGAAGGUGAUAAUGAUGUAUACACUUGUCAUACAUUUUUUUAGAUAUGAAUCAAAUUUUUAGAUAGAAAUAAAACGGGUAUAUACGGGGAAAAGGUGUGAACGUGGUUAAAUAGAAAAAAAUGAAAAAAAUAAGUUUCAAAUAUGAAAAAAUUGACAUGGUUAAAUAGAAAAUUUUAAUCAAUUCGAUUUAAUAUGAACGGUGGAAGGGUCAAUUUCAUUUUUAAUUCAUAUAAUAAAUACAGCAAAUCAGAUCACGGUGUGUGAUAUUCUCAAACUUUUUUGUGAAUCCCUUUGAAGUUCUACUAUUUUUCAAAUAAUUAAUAUAUUUAUAUGAUAUGCUAUUAUAAAUAUGAAUAAUAAAUCUUGCCGUGAGUCUAACGAGGAGUAACAUAUAUUUUAUGACAAAGUUGCAUCAAGGAGAGAAUAUGUAUUCAGCCUCGAUAAAGUCCUGUACGCAUUUGUGUACCCAGUGCAAAAUACAUCUAACAUAUAAUUUAAUAAAAUCAAGCUGCUUCACAUAGACGAGAAAGAGACGACCUAAGAAUACUGUAUAUAGAAUGUGGUAAUUCACAAUACUAGGGGAUUGAUUUUCUGACACACUUGUAAAAAAGUACUCCCUCCGUUUCUUUUUACUUUGCUCAUUUGAAAUGUCGGGACUGUUCAUAACAUGAGACAAAUGAUUAAUUUACGCCAAAUCUAUAAGACCAAAUAUAGUCAUGAGUGAUCUUGUUAGAUUCAUAUUUAUGAGUAUUUUAAUACGAUAAAAUUUGUAUAUUUAAUACUAAUAUAAAACUAAAGAUAUUAACGAUAAGAAGUGUGCGUUGGCAAACGUGUCCAAGGCAAACAGGAAAAGUAAUAAGAGACGGAGGGAGUAUUGACUAUAUAUAAUAAUUAUAUUUAAUAUCUUAUUUUUUUCUUCAAAAUAAAAGUUUAAAUUUAUUCUCAAAUUUAUAAAACGAAAAUUUGAAAAAUAAUAACUCAGAUCAAUAUACUUAAAAAUAUGUAUCAUAAAAUUAAAUACUACUAUUUAUUUGAAACAGAGAGUAGUCGCAGAAAACCAGUUUCCUCUCCAUUUCUUCCACAAAUUCAAAGAGAAAAGUCUUCAAGACAAAUGCUUGCAAUAACCGAUUUACCAACCAACACUAAAAGAUGGACAAAGUCAGAGCUGGCUGCCUUGCCUUGGAAUACCAUAAGAAAGUUGAAUGACCAAACACCAAGUUCAGUUGACUUAGAAUGUUUCCAGGCCAUUGUUUCUCCUCCAUUGACCCAAAAAGAACCUUUCUUGGGUGUUUUCGGUGUUCGGUUUAUAGGUCACAUUCCAAUGAAUGACUUGUUACGCGAAGAUGAUUAGUUGAUUAUAGCAUUAAGUUAAGAAUUUUCGUAAAAUUAAGAAAAUCUCAGGACAAGACUUCAUAUAAGUAUUAUUAUAUUAUACACGUAGUACUUAUUUUGUUUUAGAACUUUCUUUUUGACACAUAUUUUUAUAUCUUUUGACCACACUGUUAAAUUAAUUUUUUUAAUUUUCAUUUUCUGAAUUAUAAUAUUAAUCAUAUAUUGUAUUUUUAAAAAAAUUUGAAAAUAAGAAUUUAAACUAUCACUUUAAAAAUUUUAAAAUGUGUGUCAAGAAAUAGAAUGAGCAGUUAAUUGAUGUCACCUAAAUCUUCUCGAAAACAGCCCAGCGAUGCUAGAGUGAUCUUCGUAUUCAUUCUCCAUUGAUCCUUGUAAUGAAUUAAUUCAUCUAUAUGAGAACGAAGAGAAGAGCGGCAAGAUAAUUCCUCCAUCAGAAACAAAUAGGUUGCCAGAGACAGUAGAAUGUAGCAUAUGCAGCAUAGCACUCGGCUUCGACGUAUUCAUUUUCUUGGCUUUCGAGUGUAGAAGGUGGAGGAAAGCAAUUUGUAGAGACAACACAACAUAUACGACAAUCAGGAUCCCGAUUGAUGACCACUUUGUUAAAACCUUCCCUGUUUCCGAUUAUGCUUAACGAAGUUCGAUUAUUAUUGAAGUAUAAAUAAAUUUCCUUAUAAGCUAGAAUUCUCCUACAUAGAUUGGCUUUCACCUUCCCUGGUCCAUUUCUUAUAUGUUUAUGAAAGUUGUAAUUAUUAAUAAAUAUAAUUAUAAAACUCUAUCAAAACAAUAUAUACACACAUUCAUUCAUUCGUACGUACAGGUCACCCUUUUCAUCAAUAUUCAUGUAUCCUGGUAAUAAUUUUUGUAAGAUACAAGCAGUAAGUUUUUUAGUAAUACAAACAUUAUUACUAUAAACAACAAAAACCAAUAGAAACAUUUCCUUUAAAUUUGAACAAUUUACAUAUAGUUCUGAUUACAAACAUAGAAGACCACCAUAUACAUAAACUUGACAAUAGAUAAGAAAGCAAAUACAUAUGAAACACAAGAACCCUAACACAUGACAAAUUGCUACCUUCACGACAACUAUUCUCCCACAUAUACUUUACCUUUCUAACCACCCGAUUACAUAGAACUUGCAAACUACACUCAUAUAUAUAUAAGAAAGACAAAAAGAUUCACCUCACGACUUGUUCUAGAUUGCUGUUUCUUUGCACAGGGCUAGAAACAUCAGUGCCCACUCUCAGGUUACAUAGCAAGGCAUCACGUCCCGUCAGAAGAAUUUGGAAGAAGCCAUCUACUUCCUUUAAGAGGAUAUCUAAGCCUUCUGAGAAACUGGAUGCACUCUUCCCCAAGUUUGAUAUGCAAUUCUUGUACUCUUCAGCCUCCAUAGAGUUGGGGCCAUCUUCAACUAAGGGGUACAGCUUCUUGACAACAACAUGAAUUGCUUGGAGUUCUUUCAAUACAGUAACACCCCCAGAGGAAUAUAUAGUUCUUAUUUCUCCAUUAACAAAAGCCUGCAAGCUGGUAAAAGCCUCUGCCCACAAGUACUUUUCUGGGACAUGUAGAUCCAUUAACUUCUUUGAAGAACCAGAGAAAGCAGCGGCAAAUAUUCUGCAGACAAAAACAGUAAGUACCUUAACACCGUACAUAGCAUGCAACAAAACUUUCCCUUUGGAUGAGUUUUUGACUUUUGGUUCAUUAAGUGUUGCAACAAGAUUAUCUAAGACGGAAAAGCAAUUCUCAGUUUUAGAACUUUUUAAAGUAAUGUGAUGCUUCCAGUCAUCAAGUGAAGAUCGUGCACGUAUGAAUUGCUUUGAAGGUAUGGAAUCCAGAUUGCGCAUGACACAUUGGAGAAAGAGGUGACCUUGCUUGAGUCGUGAUAGUUCUGCUGAAAAACCAAUGCAUAUAUCAAGCAUCUUAACACUAUUGUCCAAGUAUACAUCAAUCCAUUUGUCAUCCCAGUCGGAUACAGGAAGUUCAAGAGCCGUUAUUAAUGUUUUUAUGUCUGUAUGUACUGCACAAAGUGAAUCCAUUGCAAGUCUCAUCCAAGACAAGGUCAACACAUCUUCACUGUCCUUUGGCUUAAGCUUUCUCAACCUCUCUGCCAAGGCUUCCUCAAAACUGUUUAAAAGAGCAAUCAACCUGGGAGAGAGAUGUGAUCCCUUGGGUAAUAUCAUGCGGAAAGGGUUUCCAAAGGGGAAGAGAGGUCUUUGUGAUUCCUGUGGGCGACUCAUUUCAAUGUAUUAUCUGCAAAACAAAACAAUGUAGCAUUCUAAUACAAGAUUGACAAGGAUGUAAAAAGGAAACCACACCAUAAUAUCAGCUUAGGCACAUAAAUAUAUCAUUUGGCUUUGGCCAAAGUCCAAAAUGGUUACAUUUGAACUCUUUCUGUUCUGCAUUCCCUGAACCAGGUACUAGCGUUCCGAAUCGUGGUAUAGGAACUUCAAUACCUUGAGUAUGUGCUAUAGGUAGUGUUCCUCAUACCCUUUUUCGUCCCGUGUACCAUACUGAUCAGCAUUCCUAAUAACCACAACACAGUAUACAUCAUAUGGGUAUAUGAAAAUUACUAGACCCUGUGAUGGAAGCACGCACAAGAAGCACAAAACAACAUCAUCUGACAGAUCAUAAACGUCCUAAAAUUCAUGAGACAUACUGGACCUCGUAUUAAAAUCAUAUCCCCACGCAUUAAAACAGGAAUCAUGCCCUCAUGUGUUCUAAGUUACAGUGUUCACCUAUGUUACUCGGACUCUUCAUUUUGCCUCGAAGUACCCGUGUCGGACACUCGACACUGGGACAUGGGCACUUGGACUAGGACACUUAUUUUAGGCCAAAAACAUGUAAAUUUGUCAUAACUUGGACUAGGACUUCUAGCCGAGUCCGAGUAACAUAGGUGUUCACCAAUAAACACAACACCCACACCACUCGAACCACAUGUCAUAUAAAAUCCUCAUGGUGCAAUUGCAGGUCUAACUUCUUCAUAAUCAAGCAGUCCAAAUCGCCUUACAAAGUCAUGUUACACAAAACAAAAAUUACUUCCACUUACAGUUAACACAUUUCAUAAACAUCAAUUCCGGGUAGUUUAACUCAUAUUUCUUAACACAAUUACGUUGACUUUGUUUUCCGCCCUAAAUUUUAAUCCAAAACAAUUUCACGCUAAACCGUAAACUCAAGCGUAAAUUCAACAGAAACUGCAACUAAUCAACCAAAUCAAAUGAAAUCAAUUCCAAGCUAGUAACAAACAGAUACAUAUGUCCAGAUCUACACACAUUAUAAAGUUUGACCAAACAAAAAUGAGAAAAUCUAACAAAUUAAUGAAAAAUUAGCUUUAAUCAUUAUAUUUACAGCACGAAUUGAACAAAUAACAAACCAGAUCAUCAAUUACACAAAUGCAACCGUUACAAAACAAUAUCAACAAAAGAUACUUAGAAAUAACACAUAUAUGAAAUAAACAAGAUUAAUUAAUAACAGAAAUACUGACAUAUAGAAAGAGAUAAAAGCGUACAUGAUUUAACGAAAGCGGCGGCGAUUAACGAAGACGAAGAGGCGAUAAGAGUAGUAGCAGAAGUAGUUCUCCUUUGCUGUGGUGUUUGAUUUUUCUCACUUAUUUACUUUAUUAUUAUUAUUAUUUUGGAAUAUUAUUAUAUUUGUACACGUGUCGAGUUCUGGCUGGAGCCAUGGCCUUUUUUCUUUUUCAUCUUUCUUUUUUCUUUUUCUAUUAAAUUGGACCAUUUCUUUAUUGGACUUUGACUAGUUGUAUGCUGUGGCCUUAGCCCAAGGGUUAUUUUUGGUAUACGUUGAUUUACUACAUAAGACUGUAGAGCUACAAUUUUGCAAAUUGGGGGAUUAUCAGUUUUUGUGUUUAAUGCUUUUGCCCUUAAAAUUUUAGAACUAAAUUUUUGCGAUAUUCUUGUUACACAACUUUCCAAAAGGGGUAUUUAGAAUCAAACCGGAUAAAAAAUUUGUAAGACAUUACACCGAAUAAAUAAAUAAGAAAUAAAUGAAACGGACCAAGCACAUGAGACUAGAGAGAACAUAUAGCAAAAUGUGAAGUCUUACUAUAAAGAGAGAAAUUUAAAAUGCACUUGCUUGCCCCAAAGGCUCCCUCUGGCCAUUCUAUCACCUUUACUACCUCGGUAGCUAUCCCUUUAGAUAUGACUCCCCAUAACUGGGUGUAGACGUGUUAUGUUCCAUAUGCAAGAGAAGCAAUGAGAAUAACAGAAUAUUCGAGGAAUUAACAAAGUGUUACAUGUAAUUCUAGCUGCUGUUGUAAUCCUUUAGUCUGUCUUCUUAUCGGGUUCGUCAAUUGCAGCCAAUCGUUCAACUAGUGGAGGAUGUGAGUAAUGAUAAGCGGAAUACCAUGGAUCUGUGUUCAUAGCUGAUAGGUUUUCCUCCUGAGUCACGGAAGUUGGGCAUUGAGAUGAGGUGAGGCUUUGUGAUAAAGUCAGCAAUGUAAAAAAGGCAAGGCAUCCAAAGUAACGAAAUGUUUAGACAUUUAAAGUAAAUGAUUGCAGAAAAUUACCUGCAGUUUCACAAGAGCGGCUCGUAGUGGUGUGGAAUACCCAAGACUCUUGGCAAAAGCGUCGGCCUUUAGUUAUAAAUGUAAGUCAGAAUUUAGAUAGAGAAAUGAACAUGUUUAGAGAGAAUAAAUAUCAACUAUGCUCGCAAGAUUACUACAGUACCUGGAACUCAAAAGCUCGGCUAACAAGAUUAAGAGCAAAGCUUACUACGCGCUGGAGUGGCAUUACAGUGUGCUGUCAAAAGCAAAAAAUUUAAGAUUGUGAAGGACACAAGAAAAUAUUGCCAAGAUACUAAGCACCAACAUUUUCAACAAAAUUUAGAAUGUUAAUCUGUAAUAAACACAUUUAAUCAGAUUCACCAUUUUCUCUUUUCUAAUACCACUAAUGAUAUAUAUCUAACAUGUCAUCAAUAUAACAAUAUUUUGACAUAAGAUAAAGGGCAGAGUGGGGCAUGACAUUCAUUCAAUUCAACAUUACCUGAAAAAGGAUGAGCCCAAUGAGGACUGGUUGUGUAUCAAAACCAAAGCUCUGAAACAGAUCGUUGGAAUUUCUAACAAGAGUAUACCCUCCAAACUGUGAGAAUGAGAGAAUCUGCAACAGCAUAUAAGAUGAGAAGAUCAGUCACAGAACCCCAAUGUUAAUACUAUUAACCUAAUCAUUCAUUUAGUUAUUAAGUUGAUUGAAACAAAAACCAAACACAAAAGUUAUAAGAACAACUAAUCAUAAUCACUAAUUGCUAGUGUUGGAUUUAGAUUAAAUUUAAAUGAAACAUUCAUCGAAUUUUUAAAUAUAUGAAAACAUUAAUUUAAUUACACAGGAAUGCAAACAGAGUGACUCAAUGCAAUCGAGCAAUUGAUGUUGGACUGAAAUGAUCAACAGUCACCUUUUGCAUAACCGUACAAGAUUUUUUGAGGUAUUACAAGAGCAAAAAACAAUAUAGAUCAAGUGGCAAAGCAUGACAACUUAAUAGAUUAUAAUUAUAUAUACCAUACCUGAACAGCAACAAAUGUGAACAUGGUGUGAUUAAGCUUCCAGUGACCCAAUUCAUGGGCGAUAACAGCAACGAUUUCCUCCUCAUCUUUGCACUGCAUAUCAUCAAGUGUUGAAGUCAGAUGAUAUUUUUAUUUUCCGAAAACAAAUUUCUUGUCAAAAUUACGAUUUGAGGUCGCUUGAAAAAUGCAGAACAGAGAUGCUUUUCUUAUUACAUGGAAAUAAACAAACUUAUAUGGCUUUUGAUUUCAAUUAACUUAAAAUAGGAGUAUGAGAUAAUAGCAUAAUGCUAAGGCUCAUGUUUAAGACCAGCAAAGUUACUGAAGAGACACCAGAUGCAUAAGUAAUUAGGUCAUAAUUCAGUGAACAUAUCAGCACGAAGGUAUUUCUGUCUUGGCAUAAAGUCUCCGUCAUGUAACUGUGACCGAGAGCUUAGCAAAUGAUGAAAGCAUGCCAGGCUUAACUCUGAGUGCCAGAAAGCAAAUAGUGAGGUUUGCCAACUAUACCAUAACAAAGUGUUUCUUAUAGAACAGAAUAAAAUACAGAACACCGUACGUAAAAAACAGGUUUUCUAUCAAUUUAGAAUAAAUAUAGAAAUCAUGUUGAUUAUGAACUGGACAAUUGUGAUUGAACUAGUAAUACCUGUUGAAUCAAUGUGUCAUAAAGAACGAUACGCUUGUUCUUAAAGAAUCCAUACAUAUAAGCCUGCAUAUUGUCAAGAAGUUGAUUAUUUCGAAAUCAGCACGGAAAGGGACAUCCAAAAACAGGUAUAGUGCACAUUGUAAACCAACCAACCAACUCCCCCCCCCCCCCCGCCCCACCCACCNNNNNNNNNNNNNNNNNNNNNNNNNNNNNNNNNNNNNNNNNNNNNNNNNNNNNNNNNNNNNNNNNNNNNNNNNNNNNNNNNNNNNNNNNNNNNNNNNNNNNNNNNNNNNNNNNNNNNNNNNNNNNNNNNNNNNNNNNNNNNNNNNNNNNNNNNNNNNNNNNNNNNNNNNNNNNNNNNNNNNNNNNNNNNNNNNNNNNNNNNNNNNNNNNNNNNNNNNNNNNNNNNNNNNNNNNNNNNNNNNCCCCCCCCCCCCCCCCCCCCCCCCAAAAAAAAAAAACAAUAGCCUUCAAUAUUAUGCCUCUCACAAACAAUUUAAGAUUCAGUAAGGAGACUACAAUAUUCUUGAGACCUAAAUAUAAGGAAAUCCACCAUGUCAUCACUCAUAAUUUUAGAACUACAACAUAAUAAUUUCUAUUUGCCUACUGAUAGUAACUGUAGAAGUAGAAAUUCUAGAACUGUACUUCGAAGGGGGCUAGGUUUUUAUAUCAGCAUUGCUUCUCCUGAAGUUAUGCUCUCACAUCAUGUCUCUCAUCCCAUCAUGCUCUAGAUUUUACAAGGUAUGACCACAAAUGCAAAAAGGAAUCCAAUUUAUUUUGAGCAUCUUUUCGGCAUAAGCUUGCUGGUAUUAUAUUUUAAAGGCAUCUAUAUAUGGGAGAGUCUCACAAGGAAAUUAAUAUAAUAUGAAAGAAGAAACCAAACUUAGCUACAAAUGCUAUCUAGGCUACUAGGCUCUUUUGCUGUGAAUCAUGACUAGGUGCCCAAAAUUUACUUGUCGCUUAUUGAACACCAAAAGAAAUUGUUACCCAACAAGAACAAGAGGAAUACAAUAUACCAAGUAGAGUUCUCACAUUGCUGUGGCUUGACCGAGUAGAUCCAUCAACAACAAACAACUUCUUUAAAGGAAAUUGGAGGGAGGAAGCAAGUUUCUCAAUCUUUGAUCUAAGUUCUCCUUCUGGAAGCUAUUUUUUGCAUCAAAACUCUAGGUGUAAGCAUUUGAAAAGAAAAUUAUAAGAUCUUGAGUAUGACAUUGAAAUAUCCCCAAAGAGUGGAGCUUACAGGAGUGAAUUUGUUAAAGAGUGGAGCUAUUAGAAUAGGGUAAAUAGUCAUCAUCACGAGAGAUAAAACGAACAUAAAUCCCCAAAGAUAAAUUGCCAAGUAGGGACCUCCUUUCUGCAAAAGAAUUUAUAUCUUUAUGUAGUCACUAUAAAAAAUAACUGUUAAAUACUAGGCAGGAACAUAUAACUCGCAAAUACUAUAGUUUAAGUACCUGUACUAUUACUAUGAUCGCAGCAACAAUUGGAGGCCCGAUUACAAUUGAUAGGACAAUUCCUUUUAUCAUGUCUCUAAAGAAUAACCAUAUUGUUUGCUGCAUAAUAAAAAAAACAUUUAUAACAAGUAAUCUAUUUGCCCAAAACAAACCACGGGAGAGAGAAACUAAACAUAUACCAGAUAUAGACAAACUUUAUCAAGUUCUAGUAGAAUAUACUCACUUUGUUGAAACCAUGGCGGGCUUCAAUCACAAAAGUUGAAUACAGUGAAAAGGGCAAAUCAGUUAUCUACAAGGAAAUAAAAAAACAACUGGUGAUGCCAUAUGAAUGACAAAGCUUUCAGAUAUAUCUGGAACAAUCUAAUUAUAGAUAUAACAGUUAAUGUAGUAUUAUCGAAUGAAAUGUACACUCAAUGAAACACAUUAUGACCUUAAAUUGAACUACAAUGAGCUGAUAUGCUAAAUACAUUUAUAUAGCCUUUUCAGGAGGAAGAGAAAGUCCUCUCCUGUAUAAAUGCACUGUCGCAGAAAUCACUUGUGGAUUGAAUUUGUCAAACCUGACCCAGAUGAGAGAAGGGCUGGAUCUUGCCAGGCAACAAGAUCAGUGCCACAUAAUAUUAUUUUAGCUCCCUGGUUUAAUGCCACGUAAUAUAACAUUAAAAUCUCACCUGUGACCAAAACAUAACACCAACUAAGAAUGAAAGAGUGCGUAGUAUCUCAUUCUCUGCAUUGAGGCCGGCCGUCACCAAAAAUGAUCCUGAUUUCUGCAGAGUAAUACACACAAUAUAAAUUACAUGAUGAAAAAUACAGUAAGAGAUUGAAAACUUAGAAAAAACACACUGGAUACUAACCUUCCAGAACCAGGGCAAUACCCCAAAGUACAAAAUUGCAGACUCCAUCAAUAUACUUACAAACUCGUGAAAAAUAUGGAAGUUGCUGAAAGCCAUCAGUGAAAGUUAUCAAUUAUAAGCAGAAGAUUGCUUAAGCGAGCAGUAAUCACUUUACAAAGAGUUAUAUGAUGAGAAAACCUUUUAUCAAUACUAUAUGCUCUUGACUUUUCAAACUUUUCUUGGCUUAUCACACCUUCCAAAGUUUUUGGGAGCUUCGGCAACUUAAGAGCAGUAUGUUGGCGUAGAUCAAGGUAACUCUCAAAGAUAUACAUCAAUAUCAUAAACCCUGAAAAAUAACAUAAAGGAGAAUAUAAAAACAUUAGAGACAAAACAAAUAGUACAUUAUUUAGAACUUUGUGAAAUGCAAACAGAUGACAUGACCAGGGGAUUAUGAGUAAAAAAAUAAUUAUUAUCAAUAAUGCAUUUGGUAGAGACAGACUGGUGAGGCUAGAGAGGAUAGAAAAGAAGUUGGUGCAUUUCCUCUGAAAACAAUCAGCAAUCUGUUGUGCCACAUAUAAUAGACCUAGCCUAGUUUCAGAUUUCCUUAGUAAGCUUUGAAAUGUACGAAUGUGACCAUUAUGUGCAGGAAGCGCUUAUAUAAGCUCCGUAAAAUUAGAAGCGCUUAUAUAAGCUCUGUAAAAUUAGGAAACGCUUAUAUAAGCUCCGUAAAAUUAAGGAACUUCCAUCAGUAGUCUCAGUAGAAAAGAACUGGUUCAGUUCGGUUACACCUCACCUAUGUCUUUACGAAGCUCAAGAAAAACAACUAGUUCAAUCCUAUUGCAUCAUCAACGUACACGCUUAAAAUUGAGGUCUAAUUAGCCACUGCAGCAAUCAAGCAAUCACAUACCUCUACAUUUCGAAAUUACUAGUACAAUCUAAACACAACUUUUUAUCUUACAAGCAGCCAACCCAAACAACCAAAAGCACAAGAAGAAAAAUUAAGCACUCGGGUGUUCUUGUUGACAGUCAUUAAAUUAACACCCAUUGACCUAAAAACACAUGUGGACAAACCUCAAGAAAACAGUAAUUUCCACAAAUAUAUAUUAUCAAGAAAACCCAGAAACAGAAUCAAAAGAGAACCAUUUACUAAUCAAAAAUCAAGUCUCUUGAGUGAGUUUUUUUUAACGAAAAAGAUUUAAAAUUGAUGGUGUAAAUGUAAAAAUCUGUAAAAACGAAAAAAAGGGUGUUAAAGAAAGAAAGAGAUAGUGCAGAUGUACCAACAACAGCUUCCAUAUAUGGAAACGCCAUGACUGAUUCUGCAGCUGAGUUGUGCAGCCUAAACAAGGUAAAAUAUCUAUUAGCAAGAUAUGUGUGAUUAUAGGGUGAAAUUUGUAAAUGGGUCAUCCACCGGGUCGGGUUGUUUAUUUUUCAUUUUCAUAUACAGAUUUGGAUUUGGAGACCGUGAAAUUUUUUUAAUUCGAUCUAUUAUAUUAAAUAUUAAAAAUUUGUAAAUUAUUUUAUGUUCUCUGAUAUAUUCUAAAAUAAAAAGGGUAAAGUCAAAUAUAUUAAGUGAAUAUUUUUAUUUAUUAUAAGAAAAUCUAUUAAUAAUUUUAUCAUUAAAUUAAAAUGUGUUAGAAUUGAAAAUGUUUCAACUCAUAUUCAUUAGUUGUGUGGUUAAAAGGACACAACAAUCAAAAAUAUUAAUUAAUGAAACAUUGUUUAAAGUAAAAAAAAAAAGAAAAAAGAGAAUAGUUGUUACAGAAAAAAAAAACAUUUAUAAUGCCACAGGAUAGUAAUUGUAUGUUUCUAUAGUUGUAUCGAGGUCAAGGGGCAUUUGCUUUUCCAGAUCACAAUUUAUAUGAUAAUGAUUUUGGUAAGCGCAUGUCCCAGCAAGUCAAGUCUGAGAGACAUUUGCUUCUCAAAAUCACGAUCCACAUAUUAUCGAUGGACAUGGCAUCGACUUUAUAAGCACGGGUCAUAACAAGUCCAAUGCAGCUCUAUAAUCUGAUUUGAUUGUAUCACUAUAAUGAGCACUAAUACGAGGUAGACGCAUGAAAGAAGUAGUUAAAUUCAAUAUCAUACUUGAAUGAAUAAUAAUUGCACUGCCCAAAAUGCGUACUUUGCAACUAGUAUUGAAAGCCUAAAUCAUCAUCUCUUAGCAUCAAAACUCACUUUUUAAUGCCAUAUGCCAACAUAUAACGACUAUAGUUAGUUUACAAUUAGCCUCUUGACAAUGACUAAAGUCAUUUUACAAAUAGCACAGACUACCUCUAUAUAAAGUAUAUACUAUAAUUCUUUUGCUAAAAAAAACUGUAUACUAAUUUCUCUUCCGCUAUAGACAAUAAAAAAAUAUACGAACCCAGAACCACGAAACAAAACAUUAAAUUACAUCAACAUCUAAACAUCUAAGUUACCAAGUCUAGAAUGAAAAAAGAAAAAAAAAGGUGUAUGAGGCUCUUUUUUUAGAUAAUCAUCUCGAUAGAUGCAGGUAAUAUACAAAACUUCCGAGGAAGGAACCCUAAGAACUCUCCAUCCGACUGAACAUAUAUGUUGCUGUUACCAGAGACCUCCUCUAUUUCCAAAGUCUGUGCACUGCAGGAAAAAAAAAACAAGAUUAUAACAAUCAUUGUUAAAAAAUUAUUGGAAAUGAAAGGCAAUUUACAGGAACAAACAAUCAGUACUCAUGAGCAACUAUAUGACUAAACUCUAAUACAGUAAUACCUCUUAUCUGACUGCUUCCCAUAUGUAGUUAGCACUUAGCACAACUACGGAACCAGUAGAAACACAAUCAUAUGAUCAAGAAGACGACUCUUUACAUUAUAACUAUAUACACUGGUUAGAUGUCCCGCGAAACAAUAAAUUAGACUCGACAACAUCUGUCAAACCAAACAUCUCUCUAACCAUCUCUAUCACUCCUUUCAUGACUUAAAAUAUAAACCUUCGCCAAUUUCAAUUUAUGCCAAAUGAUUUGAAGGGAUAUUACAUCACCUUUGACUAUUUAGGUCAUAAAAGAUUGAUCCACUCAAAACUACACAUUGUGAACUAAGUUUGAGAUGAAGACAGGCAUUAUAUGCAUAAACAUCUUAAUCAUGGAGUAAUGCCCUCCAUGUGAUACGCGGCAUAGGCAAUAUUAACUGCAUUUAGAUUAAAAUUUAUCUUGAUAUCCUCUAUGAUCAAUCUACUAGCCAAAAACACUCUGUGACACACUAGUAUGCAAGCUAUCAAGUAAAUAUGCAGAAAGAAGAUUUAGAAACCAUAACAAUAAUAUAGCAACUUUUCCAAACUUGAUUACCCUUCAAACCACACUCAUUCUAGACAUCAAAUUUGGGUCCUUUAAAUUUAAUUUUAUCAAAACUAAUGAUUUUAUCUCAUCAAAACCUUUUUGAAUACAUCUAAUUAUGUUCGACCUACUACUCGCUCAACAUUUUGUUUCUAAACUUUUUGUAGUAAUUCACAUCGAAUCUGAAUAUGGAAAGUGAGCCAAAAAUUAAUUCAGAGUCAAAGCAAUAUCCAAUCAAACUCAGGGGGGGGAGUAUAAUACUGAAUAGGAAUGAUACUGCGAAAAAUUGCAAAUGGGACAUGGUAUUUAUUUUCAUUCAUCAUAACCAAGUUGCAUCUUUUCCAAUAAAUUCAGCCAGUUACAGUCCUAAUAGUGCACUUUGUUUCCAUUUAAUUUUUCAUCGAAGCAUUAAAUAAACGAUAAUUUUACAUGCUUAAAAUUUAAUAAUCUUCAAUUUCAUGAGACUGUGCUCAAGAAAAGUCCAUACAAGUUACUAAACCAAGCAAGCAGGAAAACAUAUCGAUGGAAAGAUAUACUCCAUUCAAUACAAAUGAACAAGAUAUACUGGAAGAAAGAAAUACCUUACUGAAGACACAUUCUUUACUGAUAAAUGUGUACCAUUAUACAACCUGUGCAAAUAACGGAUGAAGUGAUACCAUUUGAAGUCCUGAAGAGUCACAACCUGCAAAGACAGUUAGGAGCUGAUUUAAUUACAUGGCCAGCACUAGUGAUGCAUAUAAUAAAAAAUAUGAACAAACUUAGUCGUGAAUAUAUAUACACACAUUAAGUUUACCUCAAAAUUUCCGCUUCUUGGGUCAGCAUUAGGAGUGAUCUUCAUUCCACCGCCAAAGAAUUUAGCAUUUCCGAUACACAAAGCUGUAACUUGAGAAUAUACUUCCCACUCACCCUCAUUGACCUGAAGAAGCCAAUGUCAGUUCAAUCUGAAUCAAUAUACACGUACUAUCUGUAAUACUAAGUUACAGAUAUAGUGCAAUACGAAACAAAUCGUUAAACACAUGACCUUAAUCUUAAGAUCCUGGUUCUGAUGCCCAAAAAAGGCUUGCAAUGCACCAAUAACAUAACAUAGGUUCCCAAAUCUUUUGUACUUGGAUGCAUAAUAACCUGCUUUCGCAGUCCUGCAAUAUUUAAGGAAAAAAAUUAUAUGCAGCUAAUUUAUGUGUUUUUCAUGACCUUGGUUACCAGUGAUUUUCUUCAAAAAAGUGUCCUUACAAAUGGAUGUCUGCAACAUUAUUGAAAUAGUGAUAUUCACCAUCUUCUCCCCUGAUAACUCCAAUGUCAAUCCGAGACCUUUGUCCUGCAUGACCCCUUCAAUUAGUAGACGAAAGAAUAUAUCCCCCAAGCAGCAACUUUUAGAUCAAAACAAACUUUUGCUGCUAAACCAAUUGAACGAAGUACUAAAAGAGAAAAAGGAGAGAAUCAUCCGGUGGAUCAUGGAUGUAACCUUUUGCUAUGCGUUCAAUUGCAUCCUCAGGAUUGUUUUUCCUGAUGAAAUAAAUUACAGCUUAGAUUUCUAUCCAAGGACUUCCAAACAAACGAUAUAAAUUAAUAUCAUACAGCAGGGGAUAAGAAAAGGUGAAGCGUAGACUAACCAAUUUAGCGUCCUUGCAAAGUCAGAACCAGUUCCCAAUGGAAUCAACUGCGGAAUAUGCAUAGCAGAGAUCGAGGGUUAAAUUACAUAUAUUGUAAGAGCACAAAAAUUUAAAAUUGUUGCUAGAGCUGCCAAGCUUACACCAAGCGCAGUUGUAUGAGAAACUUCUGGGUCUUCACAAGGAACGGGUUUUCCGCCCCAGAAGAACCCAUUAGUAACCUGACAAGAAUUUAAAUAUAUCUAUAUAAGACACUGUUUAAAAUUUUUUAAAAAAAAUAUUUGACGCAUUUUAUAGCAAAAAUCCAAGAAAAGGAUAUGUUUGCACGAUCCAAAAAGGUAGACGGAAACGACAAAAAACAACACAUGAAACUUACACAAGAAAUAUGAAGCCUAAGCCAGACUAGGUUCCAACAAACCAAUAAAAGGUUCUACUUCCAAAACAUUCUAUCCAGAUACUUUACACAACCAACUGUUUGACUGCUUGUAAUAAAACAAGUGUACAUAUUACAUUUAAGAUUCUUAAUACCGGUUAUUAUUAAAAAAAACGAGAACGUCAUAUGAUCUUGCAAGCCAAUUUCAGAUAAUUUUACUUUGAAAUAAUAGCCUGAAAUGCAUUCUUUAUACUUGAAAGUCGAUGUGUGUUUCCCAUUUCCAUAUGUAGAUUGUAGGAUACAUCUUGUAUGCUACAAGUUUAGAUUCCUGCCAUUAAAUUCUAUUAAAUUUACAAGUACAAAGAGAUCAUUGGUUUAUUACCAGCCAAAAAAUACUAUUAAAUAGAUCAGGUAUAAGGAGGCCGGAAGUUUAUGCAUACAUUUAAACAAUUUCCAAAGAUAGAUGGAAACGACAAGAAAACAUGUAAUGCCAUUUUGUUUUAUUUUUCGUCUGACUUAAUUGCUUGUCAAUAGAAUUUAUACAAGAUAAUUUCAAAGGUCCUAAAAGGAGCUUUAUGUUCACAAUAGGAAGCAAAAUACACCUCGUGAAGAGUUCCAUCACCUCCAACUGCAAUCACCGCAUCAGCUCCUUGUCGUAUAGCCUGUCAAAACAACUUACUAAAAACUUUAAGUAUUUCAAAUCAUCUGAUUCAAGUGUCAAGACGAGAGGGGCUAAAGAUAUUACCUCUCUUGUUAUGUCAAUAGCAUGGCAAGGUCCUGAAGUGAAAGAUUCGGAUAUCUGGUCAAACACGAAAAAAAACAAGGAUCAUGAAAUUGUAAUUAAGAUAAAAUAUCUAGCUAUCAACUGUUUGUAUAAAAAUAAAUGCAGCAAACUAAAAACAAAGCGUACAAAGAUGAUCAACUGUCAGACUCAGACAAGUCACUAGAACAACGUAGCAAAGCUUUUGAUACUAAUAGAGGAAUCGAAAAAGCAUCCCCCCAGGAAAGUACAACCUAAAAACCCUGCCUCAAUGUAGUUUCUAACAUGUCGAUAAAUCAUAAUGGGCCACCAUAGAAACAAUAAAGGCCAUACAAGUGCACAAAAUGCCGUAACUAGCACACAAGGCUCUCACUUAAGCAGGGACUGACAAAAUGUCAGAAAUAAGCAGCAUUUCUUGCAAAUUUAAAUAGAAUUUUGGGACAAUACUGAUGUGCAACCAGUUAUCAUCGAGCUAGCAUGCUAAGUACAUAUUUAAAAUCCUGUAAUAGUCACUAAUAAACAGAGAAUAUCAUAAAAAGGCGCAGACAUAACUAGGAAAGGAAGCAAGUUGAUACAACUCACAUUACAGUCAUUACCGAGGCGAGACCUCAAAUAUGGAAGCAAAUUCUUCCAAUCUUUACCUGUCCGGCCAUUAGCUCCUACACAAUUUGUCAUAGAAAUCAAUCAGUUAAACACUCAUUAAAUGAAUACAGUAAAGCAAAUAAUAGCACAUACAUGGAAAUAUAUACAUAGAGAGAUUGAGAUAAGGAGGAGGAGGAGAGAGAGAGAGAGAGAGAGAGAGGGGGGGAGGGAGGGAGGGGGAGAGAGAGAGAGAGAGAGAGAGAGUACCUUUAGGGUUGACGACGAAAACAAGGUCACGACGGCGAGAGUCGGUGGCGGAACGAGCGGGGGCGGCGGAGAAAUCGGGAGCCAUGGAAUUUUGUGGAGUGAGAAACAAGGAAGAAGAUUUAGGCACUGGCAGCAGCAUUGCUAUUCCGUAAUAAGCCAUCGCUUGGGUUCUUAAUAUGUGUGCCCCUGUAAAUGUGCUGAUGUGUAACUAGUAUUCAGUACUACUAGUUGGAAGAAGAUUAGCAGGAUGGGACUUGGGAGAGAUUAAUAUGGAUGUGAGAGAGAUUAAUUGGGGGCGAUCAGAAUGACAUCUAUUACCAUGUCAUCCUUCCUUUGUCUCUUCCUUGGGUGAAACGUAUGCAGCCUCGCUGUCUAGUUCUUAUCUACUGUUCAUCUCUCCCUUCCAGCUUCCGGUCUUGAGAAUUUAUGAGGUUUUUCAGUUUGAUUUUUGAAAUAAUACUGUAAAUCAAAUCAGGCCUUUUUAAUUUAAGGUCUGUGUGCGAGAUUUUAUAUUAAUAAAAUGAUGUUCUGUGUUAUUGAAAAUAUGGUAAAAAUAAAUAAAUUUAAUACAAUAUGCACACUACAUGUGGUAAGAAAGUUUUUGGUUUUUUGACACCGGAUGAGACUUUGGAUGAAAAGAUAAAAGUAAAAAUGGUUAAACAAAAUUUAUAAGAAAAAAUAAUAUUGUAAUUUGGAAGAACAAACAUAGUCACAUCAGGAAAAAAACUUGUUAAAUAUUUGCCCGAACGUUAAUUUCUCGUGGCAAAGACUUCUUAGUUAAAAAUUUAAAAUUUGUGUGACAUAUUUAAAUAGAUAUAAAUUAAAAUACAAGUCGAUAUCUACCUAUAUUUCAGGGGAAUGGAAGAUUUACGCGUCUGUUCGAUGAUGGGUGUGUAUAAUUGAGAUUAUAAAUAAAUUUCAUUCAUGAAAUUGAGAAUAUUCCUCUCGGUAUUUUUAAAUUUGACAAAAUUUUGGGAUAUUCGAUUAGAAUUUUAAAUUAUAAUGACAUUCUAUGGAUCUAAAAUAAUCAAAAAUUUCGUUAUCUUUCUCUUUAGAUAACAUCCUCUGGAUCUGAAAUAAUUAAAAAUUUCGUUGUCUUUCUUCCAAAUAAGUGGAUUUCAGUUUUAUUUCUUUUAAUUUUGUGAUUCUCCUUUAGAUCUAUUCUCGGAGAUAUUCUUAGGUCUAACACCACCGCAGAUUUAACUGUCUUUUUUUUUUGUCAUGAUAGAUUUAAAUGUCUUUAUUCUAUGUAUGAAGCGUGUGGAUUUUCGAUCCGAUUUACCGUGUUUUUGUUGUUUUCCUCCCGACUUAAGGUUUAUUAACUUUUAUUUGGUACUAUUUCGGUUUGGUGUAAUUGAAACGAUAACACAUGUGUUCACUUUAAAUGAGAUGCCCAUGCACGAAUUUUCAUUAAGUUUUUAGUUUGUUUGUUU